CCUACGGGGCGCAGCAGUGGGGAAUAUUGCACAAUGGGGGAAACUCUGAUGCAGCGAAGCCGCGUGAGUGAAGAAGGAUUUCGGUACGUAAAGCUCUAUCAGCAGGGAAGAAAAUGACGGUACGUGACUAAGAAGCCCAGGCUAACUAAGUGCCAGCAGCCGCGGUAAUACGUAGGGGGCAAGCGUUAUCCGGAUUUACUGAGUGUAAAGGGAGCGUAGACGGCAGCGCAAGUCUGAAGGGAAAUCCCAAGGCUUAACCAUGGAACUGCUUUGGAAACUGUGCAGCUGGAGUGCAGGAGAGGUAAGCGGAAUUCCGAGUGUAGCGGUGAAAUGCGUAGAGAUUAGGAGGAACACCAGUGGCGAAGGCGGCUUACUGGACUGUAACUGACGUUGAGGCUCGAAAGCGUGGGGAGCAAACAGGAUUAGAUACCCGUGUAGUC
rnacentral:rRNA from 1 species